AAAUUUCUUAAAAUUUUUGGCUUAGUUGACUGUCAGAAGUUAUAUCGAUCAGAUUCUCAAAAUCUACAUCAGAAAAAUUGGCUGGCUUGUCUUGUAUGAAUGGAUUUCGAACCCACUUAUUAUUGUUUUCAUUCAAGAAUGGAAAAUACUGAUUAAUAGAUGUGAUUAAAUGGCGAAGAUGAUCUACAAUUUAAUUGCGAAUUUCAUCUUCAAGUUCAAUUUCUGAUUCUUCAAGAAAAUCCAUAAGUG
rnacentral:lncRNA from 1 species